rnacentral:rRNA from 1 species
AUUGAACGCUGGCGGCAGGCCUAACACAUGCAAGUCGAACGAGUGGCGGACGGGUGAGUAAUGUCUGGGAAACUGCCCGAUGGAGGGGGAUAACUACUGGAAACGGUAGCUAAUACCGCAUACCAUCGGAUGUGCCCAGAUGGGAUUAGCUAGUAGGUGGGGUAACGGCUCACCUAGGCGACGAUCCCUAGCUGGUCUGCGAGGAUGACAGGCGCAGCGGGAACUGAGACACGGUCCAGACUCCUACGGGAGGCAGCAGUGGUGAAUAUUGCACAAUGGGCGCAAGCCUGAGGCAGCCUUGCCGCGUGUAUGAAGAAGGCCUUCGGGUUGUAAAGUACUUUCAGCGAGGAGGCGUUACUCGCAGAAGAAGCACCGGCUAACUCCGUGCCAGCCGCCGCGUAAUUC